rnacentral:lncRNA from 1 species
CAAUAUAUUGAUUAUGUAAUGAGGCUUAUAUUAAUAAACCUUUAUCUACAUUAAUAUAUCCGGAAAAAGAAUCGGGGCACUGCCCCCGAACCCCUGUAGUACUUAAUCACACUUUAUUAUUUCGCCCCAGGCCUCAAAAUAUGUCUACCGGCCCUGAAUACAACCUUCAAUCCCUUAACAAAUAUAUUAUUGAAACGGGAAAAAAUGAAGCUUUACUUGUGAUAUAUGUUACAAUUACAAGUCCCUAUAGGCUAUAACAACACUUCAAUUAAAAAAGUAAAAUAGAAUAGAAUUGCCAAUGUAUGAUCUUGUUUUAAAACCAAAAAUCAAAACAUUGAAUGAAUGAAAGAAGAAAAAUGUUACUAUUCAUCAUAAUUAAAUAAAUAAAAAACCCAUAAAGAAACAAAAACAGUGAAUGAGAUUUUGCAUGCGAAGAAUCUCUCAAAUAUGUCCUUUGUAUCCAUACAAAACUAUUUGUAUCCAUGAACAACUAUAGAGCAUGUUCUCUUCAACCAACGUAGCCCUUUCUUGAAACUAUUCUUGACUUUACCUUCGACCGAAUAAUAUUUGUAUUUGGCGAUCCUCUUCCUUCUUUUCAACUCUCCAUCACUGUACCACGGCCGCUCAACCGGCCGUGCUUUUGGAUUGAAAUCUUUGUACGUAGAAAUUUGAGGAUUGAUCACUCCAUUCCCCGCCGUUCCGCCGCCUCUAUUGUUCCGGCCAAGUCCUUCCAUUCUCUCUCUUCCACUUUCUCUCUCUCUAUUAUAUACAACUGCUUGUAGAGAGAAGAGAAAGAGGGAAUUUUGAGGCUUUGGCUGUGGAAUUUUUAAGACGAAUAUAUGUAAUUGUCUUUGUUUUGAUUAUGGGAACUGCAUCAAAUUGUUUCCUUUGUUGACUUGACCAAGGUAUAAUAACACCUUUAGUUCCAAAAUCCAAAUUGG